GGGUCACCAUGUCUCAUAGCACACGGCGUACGGUAUUUCAAGUGGCGUGCAUCAUUAACAGGUCAGAAGAUACUGAAAAGCAGCUCUCAGAGAUGGGGAGCAGUCUGCACACCGGGUUGUCUCAAGAGGACCCUUGGAAAAUGGACGUGGGGAACCUUUCUCCCCUUUCAGCUAGGUUGGUCAAGGGUAAAAGAGAUGGAUGACAGCUACCAAUGCUUGGGUAUCUGUGAGAAGAGUUAGGACAAAGCUGAGUAUGACAUGAAGGGGCUGAGACUCCAUCACUAGAUGGGUUUGUCUGAAUUAAGGAGGGAAAAGGAGGAGGCAAACUUGAAGGAAGAAGAUAGGAUACAUGCUACAGAGACCUAGAGGCAUCCCUCUGAGGGCUUUAUUGCUGGAAAGAAGUAGUAGCUCUGACUGUUUCAAGAAAAAAACGAAGAUUGGAGACAUCUUUGAAUUCCACUAUAACAUUAUAUGUAUUUUUGUAUGUUUUGUUUCUUGAUAAAAAAUUUAAAAACAAAGAUUGUAGCUGGUGCUAGUGAUGAAGAAAAACAUAUUAACUAUACAGUAAAAGGGAGUGAAAAUAGCUGUAGGAUUAGUUCUUGUUUAUUUAAAUAGAAGUGACACCUAAACUUUGAUUUUUAGACUUUUUUUUCCAUCUUCUCUAUCGAUGCAUUUUAGUUUUGGUUUGCUGGCAGUCUGAAAAGCCAAUUAAUGCAAUACUGUGAGAAAAUAGGGCUGGAAUGUGAUUGGAGAGUAGAGAAAUUUAAACUUUUCUUAUCUUGCCUGUUUGUUUAAGGCCCACUUCCAAGACCAAGGGGCCAGUUAUAUGGAAUUCUGGGAGCCGCCCCUCAGGUUGUCCGGUUUUCCUCCCUAGAGUUCUCCUGUAGAGCAGAUGGCAGAGAACGGAUUCAGGUUGAUCCUCCCUCUUGUGGAAAGAAAAUUAAGACACGAAAAACAUAACACUAAUUAAUUAGCUAUAUAAAGAUUUUCAGCAACAGAGGGAAAAAAGAUUUGAAGAAAAUAUGAGCUAACUUCCAUAAACUUGAAAUUGAGAUUUCUUGGAAAAUUCACUCAUUAAAAUGAGUCUCUGUCUUCCUGUUUUUUAAUGGACUCAUUGCUUGUCAUGAUUUUAUUUAUGUAAGUGUGGAGUAGGGCAGGCUUCCUGCGGUGUAACCUCACUGGGUGGUAGAUGUUAUAAAAUUAGCCACAAGCUUUCUGGGACAGUUGGGUUAUUUUUCAGUUUGCCUAGAAGUCUGUUUAGUUUUGACUUUUAACCUUGGCCUCUAAUAAAAGUGGAUUAUUUGGAGCAGAGGGCGUUGAGGGGUCGUGCUGAAUAGCCAAAGCAAUGCAUACAUUGAACAGAAUCCGGAUGCUCUGGUCCUAUGUUUAAAGAGCUUGAAGAUAUUGUUUUGAUAGUAUACAAAUAAUGAAAGCCAUAGCACUUCCACCCUGGCCUCUAAAAAAUGGUUUUUGAUUUAAAAAAAAGAUAUUUUUUGAGACAGCUUCAGUCUGUAUUGGAGGCUGAUGUUGAAUUCAUGAACCCCUGGCCUCUGCCCUUGGGAUUCAAAGCCUGUGCCACCAUGCCUGGUGGUCUCCAGAAUUUGAUAGAAUUGGUUUUCUUUGCCUUCACCCAGCCAUAUCUGUGGCUGCUCCUGGUAGUGUCUCUGCACUGGCUCCUGACUACAGAAGCAAGGCAUAGUAGCUGACCAUGGGCAGGCCCAGUCUCCUUACCACCUCAUGACACAUGCAGAUGUUUCCUCUGGUGGUGUAAGGAGCUACAGCCACUCAUAGACUUAUUUUUGCUGGACAAACUAGAUUUCUGGCCUCUGUAGAAUGUAAGAACUCCUCUUUAUGGAAGCCUUAGUCCUAAGAUGUGUAUUUAACACACACCCAUUUUCAAGAUGCGUACAUUUACGUUAUUUCUUUCUCUGUACAGUGUUCAGAGUCCUUGGCCCCCAUUUAAAGGUUAAGCUAAUGGACUUCUUCACCUUCUCAGGAAAAGCAAACACAUUCAGAGGCAGUUAUUUUACAGAGCUCAGAAUGGAAGGGGGAGCUUGGGGUUUUAGGAAGGGGAAAGGUAUAAAAAGAUGCAAUAGUUUGUCCAAUGAAGUUUGAUAAAAGGAACGACUGCAUAUCCUCACACUUAUAACACUGUUGGGUGCCUGGGACUAAGGGCCUAUAAACUAAAUUGAAUCAAAUCCAUUCUUACUAUGACAGGGAGUGUUACACACACACACACACACACCCCAAACAUAAUUCGAUAGUGUGGAGGUCGUCUGCGCCUAUGUUUUAAUUUGAUAGUGCAUUCGAAUCCCAAGAAUUCAUAGUUACAGUCGUCACAGGACAGUGGGUAUUUUGGCAGCCUCUUGGAGGUGGUAGGAAUAAAGACUGGCUUGAGGAAUAAAGAACUUUGGCUUAAGUAUUUAGCUGCCUCCUGAAUUUGGAAAGCCUCAUUAGGGUUGGCUUCUUUUCGUUAGCCUUUACUUCUCCAGUUACAACCUGUAAGUGAAAUUCUAGUUGUUCAAGAACCAAGUUGUGCAUGGGAAUAAAGUGUUAAUAACGAAGUUGCUCCUGGAAAAAAUUAGCAGGUUUCAGACUGUGCCUAAUAGGAGAGAAAAACUAUUACUACAUGUGGGUGUUUGCUUAUUCUACUCUGAUCUUUCUUCUCCAAGAUGAACGUUUAGGAGCCAUGAUGGAUUGUAUGAAAUGACUCACAGAUGUUGGAGGAAUUUCCAUAGCAUUUCACUCGUGACAUUUGGGACACACAUGCCUAAAAUAUAAGAGUUUGUUUGAAAUUUUGCUCUUAAAAAUGGGGGGGGGGGAAAUUGGUGAAAUCAGCACUAUAUGUAAAUACAUGUGUUGAGUUUGGCUUUAGGAGUCUUGAGUGUGUUUUCUUUAGCAUUUUGUUUAAGGGGGGAUUUUCAAGUUAUUAUUUAUUUUUAAUUAUGUUUACGUGAGUGCAUCUAUGGACAUGUACCCAUUAGCACAGGUACCCAAGGAGGUCCAAAGAGGAUUUGAAUUCCCAAAGCUGGAGUUUCAGGUGGCUACAUUGCAGGGCACCCUGGGUGCUGGCAACUGAACUCUUGACCACUGAGCCAGCUCUCCAGCCCCUCAGUCAUGCUUCUUAGUGGGCCUUUAUUUGGGUAGGUGGCCACAUAUG
rnacentral:lncRNA from 1 species